rnacentral:rRNA from 1 species
AAGACGGUCUUGCUGUCACUUAUAGAUGGAUCCGCGCUGCAUUAGCUAGUUGGUAAGGUAACGGCUUACCAAGGCAACGAUGCAUAGCCGACCUGAGAGGGUGAUCGGCCACACUGGAACUGAGACACGGUCCAGACUCCUACGGGAGGCAGCAGUAGGGAAUCUUCCGCAAUGGGCGAAAGCCUGACGGAGCAACGCCGCGUGAGUGAUGAAGGUCUUCGGAUCGUAAAACUCUGUUAUUAGGGAAGAACAUAUGUGUAAGUAACUGUGCACAUCUUGACGGUACCUAAUCAGAAAGCCACGGCUAACUACGUGCCAGCAGCCGCGGUAAUACGUAGGUGGCAAGCGUUAUCCGGAAUUAUUGGGCGUAAAGCGCGCGUAGGCGGUUUUUUAAGUCUGAUGUGAAAGCCCACGGCUCAACCGUGGAGGGUCAUUGGAAACUGGAAAACUUGAGUGCAGAAGAGGAAAGUGGAAUUCCAUGUGUAGCGGUGAAAUGCGCAGAGAUAUGGAGGAACACCAGUGGCGAAGGCGACUUUCUGGUCUGUAACUGACGCUGAUGUGCGAAAGCG